rnacentral:rRNA from 1 species
AGGGUUCGAUUAUGGCUCAGGACGAACGCUGGCGGCGUGCCUAACACAUGCAAGUCGAGCGAGAAUUCUUAAUCUGAUUUCUUCGGAAUGACGAAUAAGAAGGAAAGCGGCGGACGGGUGAGUAACGCGUGAGUAACCUGCCUUCAGGAGGGGGACAACAUUCCGAAAGGGAUGCUAAUACCGCAUAACAUUACUUUUACGCAUGUAAGAGUAAUCAAAGUAAUUUCGCCUGAAGAUGGACUCGCGUCUGAUUAGCUGGUUGGUGGGGUAAAGGCCUACCAAGGCGACGAUCGGUAGCCGAACUGAGAGGUUGAUCGGCCACAUUGGGACUGAGACACGGCCCAG